UCUACACUUCCCCCAGCUCUACAUAUGGAUACCGAGCUGAACUCCCUUGUGUUUCCAGACUCAGAGAUUGCAAGAAAGCCUGAAUUAACCACAAAAAGAGAGAAGUAACCUCCAAAUGCCUUAAGUGGUGGUCCUCCCUGCAACAACCAGCGAGCCAGAAGCCACCCGCCCUGCUGGCUGGCAACACUCUACCUCAGCCUGACCUUGUACUACGUCAAGGCGCCGCCAAAUAAUCGUAAUCAUUAUUGUCAGCGUUUCCUGCCCGCGUGUUUGUUCUGCGUGAAAUUACAAGUUGAAAAUAACAUGAGGGUGUUUCUGAAGUGUGGAGUGAAGCAUCUCCAAUCUUUUGGAAUGCUGUGAUUUAUACGUAUAAUAAACAACUAUAUUAGUC